GGGGGGAGAAAUCAGACUUCUAUUUUCAGCUUUGGUUGAAGGGAGAGGAAGCCAGAAAAGGGACUCCUGGUCUAAAAAGCUUUGAUUUCUUCUUAAUUGCCCUGGUCUGGAGAAGAAAACGAGCUGGGCCUGGGAGGAAGAUCACGUGGCUGCCUCAGAGGGAGAGGACUUGCUGGCGACCCCCACAGCCCAGUCUCCCUCACCUCCCACAGCCACUUCCCAGGAAUGUCUGCCUGCUGAGUAUCCCUCACAUCCCAGCACGCAAGGCCAGCAGUCGAAUCUCUCAGGAUUCUGGGGCAGAUCUUGAUAUUUUUCUCCACAUGUCAGGCUUUUAGGAUCCUCGGACAUGAUGAGCCUGGGAUUUGCUGUGUCUGGAUCCAAAAUGACGUUUGCUGUUGAGGGGGAGAAGAAAAGGAAGGGAACAGAAGCAGAGUCAGCUGAGAGAUGGAGGGAAGUCAGGGGCCUUACGAGGUUCUUCAAUGAUUCGGGACCAAGGUCCACAGGCCCUUUCUUAGUCCAACUCAAUCACGCCCACCCUCCAAGAAUAAUGGCUUCUUCUUUCUUGGGAAGGGAGAAUAGGAUUACAUCCCCUGAGCCAAUGUGGUGCAGUGGAUAGAGAGCUGGAGGAGGACUGGGGAGAUCUGGAUUCAAACCCUCCCCUGGUCAGCCAUGAAGCUGACUGAAUGACUCUUAGCUAGACAUUCUCCACCCCCCUCAUCUGCCUCCCAGGAUUGUUGUGGAAAUAAAAUGGAGAAGGAAAAACAAUUUAGACUAGCCUGUGCUUCUUGGAGGAAGGGCAGCUCCAAAGCUUGCAAAUGAUAAGAUACCCUUACGUGUGUCUGUCUAUUCAGGACUUGGAGGGCCCAGGGCAAGAAUUUGUCCCCCCCACACUUCGGACCAGGCCGAGGAACUCACUAGCAGUGAUCCCUGCUAAAGGAGCCAAGAGGCACCAUUGAAAGGGAUGGUUCUCUUGUACUGAAUGGGGGGUGGGGGGGAGCCACUGUCCCUCUCCAACCCCAGCACAGACAGCAUCAGUGGUGGCUGCUGGUGUCUACUUGGUGUUUCUUUUUAGCCUGUGAGUCCUUUGGGGACAGGGAAGCAACUUUUGUUCCUUUUUCUAUGUAAACUGCUUUGACUUUUGUUGAAAAGCUGUAUAUAAAUCUUUGUAGUUGUA